CCUACGGGAGGCAGCAGUAAGGAAUAUUGCGCAAUGGGGGCAACCCUGACGCAGCAACGCCGCGUGGGCGACGAAGGCCUUCGGGUUGUAAAGCCCUUUUCGGAGGGACGAGUAAGGACGGUACCUCCGGAACAAGUCUCGGCUAACUACGUGCCAGCAGCCGCGGUAAAACGUAGGAGGCAAGCGUUAUCCGGAUUCACUGGGCGUAAAGCGCGCGCAGGUGGCCUGUCAAGUCGGACGUGAAAUCUCCCGGCUCAACUGGGAGGGGCCGUUCGAUACUGGCGGGCUUGAGGCGUGGAGAGGGAAGUGGAAUUCCUGGUGUAGCGGUAAAAUGCGUAGAUAUCAGGAGGAACACCCGUGGCGAAGGCGGCUUCCUGGCCAUGGCCUGACGCUGAGGUGCGAAAGCCAGGGGAGCGAACGGGAUUAGAUCCCC
rnacentral:rRNA from 1 species